UCCGGGCCCCCAAGGCGGGGGCUGGCGGCAGGUGCGCGGCGUGGACUACAAGUCCCAGCAUGCCCCGCCGCCCUGACCCGGCCCCCGCCACCACUUAAAGGCUAUGGGAGCCGCAGCGGUGGGGUCGCCGGCAUUUCGCCGCCGCCGCCGCGGAUUUUCGCUGCCAGUGCGGGAGCGGCAGACUCGGCUGCCAGCUCUACCGGCGUCCCGGCUCGGGCAGCGCCGAGGGGCGCUCCUGGUCCAGCUCUCCUGGCUCGGGGGUUCCUUGCCUAGGCCCCCGAGCCCCGGUCUCCCCGCCUGGAUGGGAGAGAAGAAGGAGAGCAGUGGCGGGGGUGAUGCGGCGGCCGCGGAGGGAGGCGCAGGGGCCGCGGCCAGCCGGGCGCCUGCAGCAGUGCGGGAGCUCCAGAAGUUCAUCGGCAUCUCCACAGGCAGCCUGCGCGGGCUGCGCACCAAGUGCGCUGUGUCCAACGACCUCACCCAGCAGGAGAUACGGACCCUGGAGAUUCUUUUCAAUAUACCCCAUCAUGGUUGAACUCAAAGUCAUUGCUUAUUUAAAAUCUACAACUGUGGACGUUUUGUAUCCUUCGCAUUCCAGAUACAACAGAGAAAUGCAUAAUGUCCAGUGAAUUUAUUAAAGUUCCAAAGUCCGUCAUGCGCAGUGGCUGACACCUGUAAUCUCAACACUUCGAGAGGCCGAGGCGUGUGGAUCACGAGGUCAGG